rnacentral:lncRNA from 1 species
CUCUGCACCUCCGUCAGUCGAGCCUCGCACGCAGAAUGGAUGUCCGUCCUAGAUGAGUGUGAGGAUGGAGCAGUGAUCCCAUACCCUAGACCCCUAACAUAACAGGGUUUUGUAUCGAGCACCCGAUCACAGAUCUCAUCAUCUGUGGAUACGAUCAAGCCCUCAGGGAUAGGUUGGGAUCUCAUGUCUGUCGAUCCUAAAAAUUAAAAUUAUAGUUAUUUUAAUUUUAUAAUAAAAAUCAGAUUGCGAAUGAAAAAUAAUUGAAAAAACUUACAAAGAGCUUCUGGCUCCCCGUUGUCCACUCCCCCGACUAUCGCUGGUGGGUCCGCUGGC